rnacentral:rRNA from 1 species
CGAACGCUGGCGGCAUGGCUAAAACAUGCAAGUCGAAGGAGAAGCCCCUUCGGGGGUGGACACUGGCGAAAGGGCGAGGAAUACGUUCGAACGUGCCCCGAGGUGGGGGAUAGCGUCGGGAAACUGGCGGUAAUACCCCAUGUGAUCUACGGAUGAAAGCUACGGUGCCUUGGGAGCGGCGAACGUCCUAUCAGGUUGUUGGUGAGGUAACGGCUCACCAAGCCGAAGACGGGUAGCGGGUGUGAGAGCAUGACCCGCCGCAUCGGAACUGAGACACUGUCCGGACUCCUACGGGAGGCUGCAGUAACGGAUCUUCCGCAAUGCACGAAAGUGUGACGGAGCAAUGCCGCGUGUGGGACGAAGCGGUUACGCCGUGUAAACCACUGUCAGGUUCUCGAAAGAACUGAUCAGAACCAGAGGAAGGGCCGGCUAAUCUCGUGCCAGCAGCCGCGGUAAGACGAGAGGCCCGAGCGUUGAGCGGAAUCACUGGGCUUAAAGGGUGCGUAGGCGGACCGGCAGGUGCUUUGUGAAAGCCCACGGCUCAACCGUGGAAUUGCAGGGCAAACCGCCGGUCUUGAGGCAGGUAGAGGUCGUCGGAACGUUGGGUGGAGCGGUGAAAUGCGUAGAGAUCCAACGGAACGCCAAAGGUGAAGACAGGCGACUGGGCCUGACCUGACGCUGAGGCACGAAAGCGUGGGGAGCAAACAGGAUUAGAUACCCUGGUAGUCCACGCC